rnacentral:rRNA from 1 species
UACAGAGGUCCCAAGCGUUGUUCGGAUUCACUGGGCGUAAAGGGUGCGUAGGUGGUGGGGUAAGUUUGAUGUGAAAGCUCCGGGCUUAACCCGGAAAUGGCAUUGAAUACUAUCUCGCUUGAGGGUUGGAGGGGAGACUGGAAUUCUUGGUGUAGCAGUGAAAUGCGUAGAUAUCAAGAGGAACACCAGUGGCGAAGGCGGCUUACUGGUCCGGAACUGACGCUGAGGAGCGAAAGCAUGGGGAGCGAACAGG